GACGAACGCUGGCGGCGUGCUUAACACAUGCAAGUCGAACGGAAAGGCCCUGCUUUUGUGGGGUGCUCGAGUGGCGAACGGGUGAGUAACACGUGAGUAACCUGCCCUUGACUUUGGGAUAACUUCAGGAAACUGGGGCUAAUACCGGAUAGGAGCUCCUGCUGCAUGGUGGGGGUUGGAAAGUUUCGGCGGUUGGGGUUGGACUCGCGGCUUAUCAGCUUGUUGGUGGGGUAGUGGCUUACCAAGGCUUUGACGGGUAGCCGGCCUGAGAGGGUGACCGGCAACAUUGGGACUGAGAUACCGCCCAGACUCCUACGGGAGGCAGCAGUGGGGAAUAUUGCACAAUGGGCGGAAGCCUGAUGCAGCAACGCCGCGUGCGGGAUGACGGCCUUCGGGUUGUAAACCGCUUUCGCCUGUGACGAAGCGUGAGUGACGGUAAUGGGUAAAGAAGCACCGGCUAACUACGUG
rnacentral:rRNA from 1 species